rnacentral:rRNA from 1 species
GAUGAACGCUGGCGGCGUGCCUAAUACAUGCAAGUCGAGCGAACAGACGAGGAGCUUGCUCCUCUGACGUUAGCGGCGGACGGGUGAGUAAUACGUGGAUAACCUACCUAUAAGACUGGGAUAACUUCGGGAAACCGGAGCUAAUACCGGAUAAUAUAUUGAACCGCAUGGUUCAAUAGUGAAAGACGGUUUUGCUGUCACUUAUAGAUGGAUCCGCGCCGCAUUAGCUAGUUGGUAAGGUAACGGCUUACCAAGGCAACGAUGCGUAGCCGACCUGAGAGGGUGAUCAGCCACACUGGAACUGAGACACGGUCCAGACUCCUACGGGAGGCAGCAGUAGGGAAUCUUCCACAAUGGGCGAAAGCCUGACGGAGCAACGCCGCGUGAGUGAUGAAGGUCUUCGGAUCGUAAAACUCUGUUAUUAGGGAAGAACAAAUGUGUAAGUAACUAUGCACGUCUUGACGGUACCUAAUCAGAAAGCCACGGCUAACUACGUG